ACGUUCUCUUGAGUCUCAUGUGUCCCUUAACUGUAAGAGCAAAGUCUGUCUGAACCCCAGAGUCAACACCCGACAGUGCAGGUGCAACAGAAGAGCCAUGAAGAGACAGCUAGGGGCUCUGCUGGGGCUUCUGUGGGUCCAGAUUUUCCGGGUGAAGGGGCUGGAGGUGGAGCAGAAUCCUUCAGCCCUGAAUAUCCAGGAGGGAGCCAACUCUACCCUGCGCUGCAAUUUUUCUGCCGCUGUGAACAAUGUGCAGUGGUUCCGUCAGAAUCCCGGGAGCAGCCUCAUCAGAUUAUUUUACAUAGCUUCAGGGACAAAGGAGAAUGGAAGGUUGACGUCAACCAUCAAUUCCCGGGAGCGCUACAGCACCCUCCACAUCGCAGCCUCCCAACUGGCUGACUCAGGCACCUACCUCUGUGCGGCAGAGGCACAGUGCUCCCAGGUCACCUGCUGCCUGCACCCAAACUGCAACUGA